rnacentral:rRNA from 2 species
GCUGAUGCGUUGUUGGGUAGGGGAGCGUUCUGUAAGCCUGUGAAGGUGGCCUGUGAGGGUUGCUGGAGGUAUCAGAAGUGCGAAUGCUGACAUAAGUAACGAUAAAGCGGGUGAAAAGCCCGCUCGCCGGAAGACCAAGGGUUCCUGUCCAACGUUAAUCGGGGCAGGGUGAGUCGACCCCUAAGGCGAGGCCGAAAGGCGUAGUCGAUGGGAAACGGGUUAAUAUUCCCGUACUUGGUGUUACUGCGAAGGGGGGACGGAGAAGGCUAUGUUGGCCGGGCGACGGUUGUCCCGGUUUAAGCGUGUAGGUGUGUGUUCCAGGUAAAUCCGGUUCACUUUAACACUGAGGCGUGACGACGAGGCACUACGGUGCUGAAGCAACAAAUGCCCUGCUUCCAGGAAAAGCCUCUAAGCAUCAGGUAACAUCAAAUCGUACCCCAAACCGACACAGGUGGUCAGGUAGAGAAUACCAAGGCGCUUGAGAGAACUCGGGUGAAGGAACUAGGCAAAAUGGUGCCGUAACUUCGGGAGAAGGCACGCUGACAUGUAGGUGAAGUGAUUUACUCAUGGAGCUGAAGUCAGUCGAAGAUACCAGCUGGCUGCAACUGUUUAUUAAAAACACAGCACUGUGCAAACACGAAAGUGGACGUAUACGGUGUGACGCCUGCCCGGUGCCGGAAGGUUAAUUGAUGGGGUCAGCGCAAGCGAAGCUCCUGAUCGAAGCCCCGGUAAACGGCGGCCGUAACUAUAACGGUCCUAAGGUAGCGAAAUUCCUUGUCGGGUAAGUUCCGACCUGCACGAAUGGCGUAAUGAUGGCCAGGCUGUCUCCACCCGAGACUCAGUGAAAUUGAACUCGCUGUGAAGAUGCAGUGUACCCGCGGCAAGACGGAAAGACCCCGUGAACCUUUACUAUAGCUUGACACUGAACAUUGAGCCUUGAUGUGUAGGAUAGGUGGGAGGCUUUGAAGUGUGGACGCCAGUCUGCAUGGAGCCGACCUUGAAAUACCACCCUUUAAUGUUU